rnacentral:rRNA from 1 species
UCGCACCUACCGAUUGAAUGGUUCGGUGUAAAAUUCAGACUGUAACUUCGUCUUCUUCAUUGGAGACGUUGCCGCGGAAAGAUUUUUAAACCUCAUCAUUUAGAGGAAGGUG